rnacentral:rRNA from 1 species
CCUACGGGUGGCAGCAGUGAGGAAUAUUGGUCAAUGGCCGGAAGGCUGAACCAGCCAUGCCGCGUGAAGGGCAGGGCCCUAGGGGCGUUAAACUUCUUGUGUGCGGGAGCAAGAAUGGUCACGGGUGGCCAGACGAGAGUACCGUACGAAGAAGCAUCGGCGAACUCCGGGCCAGCAGCCGCGGUAAGACGGGGGAUGCAAGCGUUCUCCGGAGUUCUUGGGUUUCAAGGGGGCGGAGGCUGUGAGGUAAGUCAGCGGGGAAAUGCCCCCGCUCAACGGGGGGAAGUGCCAUUGAUACUGCCUUGCUGGAUUGCGGCUGCCGUGGGAGGAAUGUGUGUUGUAGCGG